AGCUCCAAUAGCGUAUAUUAAAGUUGUUGCAGUUAAAACGCUCGUAGUCGGAUUUCGGGGCGGGCCGACCGGUCUGCCGAUGGGUAUGCACUGGCCGGCGCGUCCUUCCUUCCGGAGACCGUGCCUACUCUUAACUGAGCGGGUUCGGGAGACGGAUCGUUUACUUUGAAAAAAUCAGAGUGUUUCAAGCAGGCAGCUCGCUCUUGCAUGGAUUAGCAUGGGAUAAUGAAAUAGGACUUUGGUGCUAUUUUGUUGGUUUCGAACACCGAAGUAAUGAUUAACAGGGACAGUCAGGGGCACUCGUAUUCCGUCGAGAGAGGUGAAAUUCUCAGACCAACGGAAGACGAACCACUGCGAAAGCAUUUGCCAGGGAUGUUUUCACUG
rnacentral:rRNA from 1 species